GACGAACGCUGGCGGCGUGCUUAACACAUGCAAGUCGAGCGGAGCGGCGAACGGGUGAGUAACGCGUGAGUAACUGCCCCCCUCUCUGGGAUAACAGUUGGAAACGGCUGCUAAUACCGGAUAGUGGGGGCUGACUCGAGUCCUAUCCGCUUGUUGGUGGGGUAGUGGCCUACCAAGGCGACGAGGGGUAGCCGGCCUUAGAGGGCGACCGGCCACAUUGGGCUGAGAUACGGUCGGAGCUCCUACGGGAGGCAGUAGUGGGGAAUAUUGCACCAUGGGGGAAACCCUGAUGCAGCAACGCCGCGUGCGGGAUGUCGGUCUUCGGGUUGUAAACCGCUUUCAGCCAUGACGCGGUAGUGGCAGAAGAAGCCCCGGCUAACUACGUGCCAGCAGCCGCGGUAAUUC
rnacentral:rRNA from 1 species